CCUACGGGAGGCAGCAGUGAGGAAUAUUGGACAAUGGGCGCAAGCCUGAUCCAGCCAUGCCGCGUGCAGGAUGAAGCAUCUAUGGUGUGUAAACUGCUUUUAUACAGGAAGAAACCUCCCGACGUGUCGGGAAUUGACGGUACUGUAAGAAUAAGGAUCGGCUAACUCCGUGCCAGCAGCCGCGGUAAUACGGAGGAUCCAAGCGUUAUCCGGAAUCAUUGGGUUUAAAGGGUCCGUAGGCGGGCCAGUAAGUCAGUGGUGAAAUCUCUCCGCUCAACGGGGAAAUGGCCAUUGAUACUGCUGGUCUUGAAUUAUUAGGAAGUAACUAGAAUAUGUAGUGUAGCGGUGAAAUGCUUAGAGAUUACAUGGAAUACCAAUUGCGAAGGCAGGUUACUACUAAUGGAUUGACGCUGAUGGACGAAAGCGUGGGUAGCGAACAGGAUUAGAUACCCUGGUAGUCCACGCCGUAAACGAUGGAUACUAGCUGUUGGGGCAACUUCAGUGGCUAAGCGAAAGUGAUAAGUAUCCCACCUGGGGAGUACGUUCGCAAGAAUGAAACUUAAAGGAAGUUGACGG
rnacentral:rRNA from 1 species